CCCUUAGAUGUUCUGGGCCGCACGCGUGCUACACUGAGUGGAUCAGCGGGUCAGGUUGCGCGAAAGUGUUUCCUAAUCUUUAAAUCCGCUCGUGAUGGGGAUUGACGGUUGCAAUUUUCCGUCAUGAACGAGGAAUACCUUGUAAGCGCGGGUCAUCAUCCCGCGCUGAAUACGUCCCUGCCCUUUGUACACACCGCCCGCCGCUCCUACCGAUUGAGUGGUCCGGUGAGGCUUUGGGAUCUGGGCGGAAAGAGCGUUUCGCUGUUUCUGCCCGGAAAACUCAGUCGAACCUUAUCAUUUAGAGGAAGGAGAAGUCGUAACA
rnacentral:rRNA from 1 species